CAACAAACCACCACUGUCAUAUGAUCCGACUACAGCCUCACCAUCUUUCAAACACUGCAGAGCAACAUCUCCUGUCCAUUAGGCUACUCCCUGGACUACAGCCCAUCUGUUUGGAGUACCAGAGGACUCACCAUGUGGCUAAAAGGUUUUAUAAGUAACCAUGUCAACAUGAAACUUCUGAAGACCUGUGUCAUCCUUCUCCUUCUGACUGUGUUGUUCUUUACACGAAGAAACAUGGACCUGCUGCAGUACCAGAGGAGGACUCACCAUGUGCCUAAAAGGAUUUGAGUAACCAUGUCAACAUGACACUUCUGAAGACCUGUGUCAUCCUUCUCCUUCUGACUGUGUUGUUCUUUGUACUAAGAAACAUGGACCUGCUGCAGGUGAGAACUGGGAUUAGUGGCAACACUUUGAA